GAAAAUCCCAUUUCUAUCUCCACAGCUGAAAGGAUGUCUUCCCCUGUGAUUUAGCACUCAAAAGUUAAAAUUUAGUGUUGCAGGCUUAGACCCAGACUGACACUCCCAGGGAGUUUCAAUUUGCUCUUGGGCUUUUCCUCUCUAAAAUUUUCUCCUUUGUUCUUUUCUACCAGAGAUGAGUGAGUGCUUCAGAAUCAACUAGGCCUCCUUUGUUAAUUUUUUUUAAAAUUAUUUUAGCUGGUAUUAUUGCUUUCAACUUGGUGAUUCUUUUGAAUAUCGCUUCAUGGGCUCUAAUGGCUGCUACUCUUUCUAAAUUUAUAAGCCUUUAAAGCAGCAGCAUCAUUCCAAGAGGUGGAAAUUACUUUGGCACAAUCAUUUGAGGAGAAAUUUGUAGAUUGAUUGCUAGUUGAUAAGAGAGCACAAUUUUACACUUAUCAAAGUAUAUGCGAGUCUCUAAUCUUGAAUGCUUCUCAUGAAUAGCAUCCUUUAAGGGUUUCACUUGAGUCUGAUCAUCAUUUCUUCAUUGUCAUUCUUCUCUUUGAAUAUGAGUUAUUAGAUUAGUGAAAAGAUAUCAAUUGUUUAAAUUACAAAAUUCUCCCAGGAAUUUUGCCAUGGAUCACUCAUCCAUCCAAAGAAAUCUGAAUAUGAUAGAAAGUUAUUGAGUUAUACCAUAACUUUUCAUAUUCCAUGAUAAUUGCUGUUGCAUUGACAAUCUGUUUCUAUAGCUUUUUUCCUUUUUUUUAAAAUCCCAAAUAUUCCAUGCUUUAAUGGCUUGUUCUUUAUACUUUACUACAUUUGCCGGUUGGUGACAGCAAUUAAUUGAAUUCUGGCCUUCCCCUUAAGGAAAUAUGAAAUUUGGUUCAAA
rnacentral:misc_RNA from 1 species